rnacentral:rRNA from 1 species
UACGUAGGGUGCCAGCGUUGUCCGGCUUUAUUGGGCGUAAAGAGCGUGUAGGCGGCCAUACAGGUCCGUUGUGAAAACUGGAGGCUUAACCUCCAGACGUCGAUGGAAACCGUAUGGCUAGAGUCCGGAAGAGGAGAGUGGAAUUCCUGGUGUAGCGGUGAAAUGCGCAGAUAUCAGGAAGAACACCCGUGGCGAAGGCGGCUCUCUGGGACGGUACUGACGCUGAGACGCGAAAGCGUGGGGAGCGAACAGG